CGGCGAUACCCGAAUGGGGAAACCCAGUGUGACUCGUCACACUAUCAUUAACUGAAUCCAUAGGUUAAUGAGGCGAACCGGGGGAACUGAAACAUCUAAGUACCCCGAGGAAAAGAAAUCAACCGAGAUUCCCCCAGUAGCGGCGAGCGAACGGGGAGGAGCCCAGAGCCUGAAUCAGCAUGUGUGUUAGUGGAAGCGUCUGGAAAGGCGCGCGAUACAGGGUGACAGCCCCGUACACAAAAGCGCAUGUGCUGUGAGCUCGAUGAGUAGGGCGGGACACGUGGUAUCCUGUCUGAAUAUGGGGGGACCAUCCUCCAAGGCUAAAUACUCCUGACUGACCGAUAGUGAACCAGUACCGUGAGGGAAAGGCGAAAAGAACCCCGGCGAGGGGAGUGAAAAAGAACCUGAAACCGUGUACGUACAAGCAGUGGGAGCACCCUUUGGGUGUGACUGCGUACCUUUUGUAUAAUGGGUCAGCGACUUAUAUUCUGUAGCAAGGUUAACCGAAUAGGGGAGCCGGAGGGAAACCGAGUCUUAAUUGGGCGUUAAGUUGCAGGGUAUAGACCCGAAACCCGGUGAUCUAGCCAUGGGCAGGUUGAAGGUUGGGUAACACUAACUGGAGGACCGAACCGACUAAUGUUGAAAAAUUAGCGGAUGACCUGUGGCUGGGGGUGAAAGGCCAAUCAAACCGGGAGAUAGCUGGUUCUCCCCGAAAGCUAUUUAGGUAGCGCCUCGUGAAUUCAUCUCCGGGGGUAGAGCACUGUUUCGGCUAGGGGGCCAUCCCGGCUUACCAACCCGAUGCAAACUGCGAAUACCGGAGAAUGUUAUCACGGGAGACACACGGCGGGUGCUAACGUCCGUCGUGAAGAGGGAAACAACCCAGACCGCCAGCUAAGGUCCCAAAGUCAUGGUUAAGUGGGAAACGAUGUGGGAAGGCCCAGACAGCCAGGAUGUUGGCUUAGAAGCAGCCAUCAUUUAAAGAAAGCGUAAUAGCUCACUGGUCGAGUCGGCCUGCGCGGAAGAUGUAACGGGGCUAAACCAUGCACCGAAGCUGCGGCAGCGACGCUUAUGCGUUGUUGGGUAGGGGAGCGUUCUGUAAGCCUGCGAAGGUGGCCUGUGAGGGUUGCUGGAGGUAUCAGAAGUGCGAAUGCUGACAUAAGUAACGAUAAAGCGGGUGAAAAGCCCGCUCGCCGGAAGACCAAGGGUUCCUGUCCAACGUUAAUCGGGGCAGGGUGAGUCGACCCCUAAGGCGAGGCCGAAAGGCGUAGUCGAUGGGAAACGGGUUAAUAUUCCCGUACUUGGUGUUACUGCGAAGGGGGGACGGAGAAGGCUAUGUUGGCCGGGCGACGGUUGUCCCGGUUUAAGCGUGUAGGUGUGUGUUCCAGGUAAAUCCGGUUCACUUUAACACUGAGGCGUGACGACGAGGCACUACGGUGCUGAAGCAACAAAUGCCCUGCUUCCAGGAAAAGCCUCUAAGCAUCAGGUAACAUCAAAUCGUACCCCAAACCGACACAGGUGGUCAGGUAGAGAAUACCAAGGCGCUUGAGAGAACUCGGGUGAAGGAACUAGGCAAAAUGGUGCCGUAACUUCGGGAGAAGGCACGCUGACACGUAGGUGAAGUGAUUUACUCACGGAGCUGAAGUCAGUCGAAGAUACCAGCUGGCUGCAACUGUUUAUUAAAAACACAGCACUGUGCAAACACGAAAGUGGACGUAUACGGUGUGACGCCUGCCCGGUGCCGGAAGGUUAAUUGAUGGGGUCAGCGCAAGCGAAGCUCCUGAUCGAAGCCCCGGUAAACGGCGGCCGUAACUAUAACGGUCCUAAGGUAGCGAAAUUCCUUGUCGGGUAAGUUCCGACCUGCACGAAUGGCGUAAUGAUGGCCAGGCUGUCUCCACCCGAGACUCAGUGAAAUUGAACUCGCUGUGAAGAUGCAGUGUACCCGCGGCAAGACGGAAAGACCCCGUGAACCUUUACUAUAGCUUGACACUGAACAUUGAGCCUUGAUGUGUAGGAUAGGUGGGAGGCUUUGAAGUGUGGACGCCAGUCUGCAUGGAGCCGACCUUGAAAUACCACCCUUUAAUGUUUGAUGUUCUAACGUGGACCCGUUACCCGGGUUGCGGACAGUGUCUGGUGGGUAGUUUGACUGGGGCGGUCUCCUCCUAAAGAGUAACGGAGGAGCACGAAGGUUGGCUAAUCCUGGUCGGACAUCAGGAGGUUAGUGCAAUGGCAUAAGCCAGCUUGACUGCGAGCGUGACGGCGCGAGCAGGUGCGAAAGCAGGUCAUAGUGAUCCGGUGGUUCUGAAUGGAAGGGCCAUCGCUCAACGGAUAAAAGGUACUCCGGGGAUAACAGGCUGAUACCGCCCAAGAGUUCAUAUCGACGGCGGUGUUUGGCACCUCGAUGUCGGCUCAUCACAUCCUGGGGCUGAAGUAGGUCCCAAGGGUAUGGCUGUUCGCCAUUUAAAGUGGUACGCGAGCUGGGUUUAGAACGUCGUGAGACAGUUCGGUCCCUAUCUGCCGUGGGCGCUGGAGAACUGAGGGGGGCUGCUCCUAGUACGAGAGGACCGGAGUGGACGCAUCACUGGUGUUCGGGUUGUCAUGCCAAUGGCACUGCCCGGUAGCUAAAUGCGGAAGAGAUAAGUGCUGAAAGCAUCUAAGCACGAAACUUGCCCCGAG
rnacentral:rRNA from 1 species